AGCGAACGCUGGCGGCAGGCUUAACACAUGCAAGUCGAGCGCCCCGCAAGGGGAGCGGCAGACGGGUGAGUAACACGUGGGAACGUGCCUUCUGGUUCGGAAUAACUCAGGGAAACUUGAGCUAAUACCGAAUAAGCCCUUCGGGGGAAAGAUUUAUCGCCGGAAGAUCGGCCCGCGUAAGAUUAGCUAGUUGGUGAGGUAAUGGCUCACCAAGGCUACGAUCUUUAGCUGGUCUGAGAGGAUGAUCAGCCACACUGGGACUGAGACACGGCCCAGACUCCUACGGGAGGCAGCAGUGGGGAAUAUUGGACAAUGGGGGCAAUCCUGAUCCAGCCAUGCCGCGUGAGUGAUGAAGGCCUUAGGGUUGUAAAGCUCUUUUAGCAGGGACGAUAAUGACGGUACCUGCAGAAAAAGCCCCGGCCAACUUCGUGCCAGCCGCCGCGGUAAAAC
rnacentral:rRNA from 1 species